GACGAACGCUGGCGGCGUGCUUAACACGUGCAAGUCGAACGGAAAGGCCUUUUCGGAGGUACUCGAGUGGCGAACGGGUGAGUAACACGUGGGUGAUCUGCCCUGCACUCUGGGAUAAGCCUGGGAAACUGGGUCUAAUACCGGAUAGGACCGCACUUUAGUGUGUGUGGUGGAAAGUUUUUUCGGUGUAGGAUGAGCCCGCGGCCUAUCAGCUUGUUGGUGGGGUAAUGGCCUACCAAGGCGGCGACGGGUAGCCGGACUGAGAGGUUGGUCGGCCACAUUGGGACUGAGAUACGGCCCAGACUCCUACGGGAGGCAGCAGUGGGGAAUAUUGCACAAUGGGCGCAAGCCUGAUGCAGCGACGCCGCGGGGGGGAUGACGGCCUUCGGGUUGUAAACUCCUUUCGCCAGGGACGAAGCGUUUUGUGACGGUACCUGGAGAAGAAGCACCGGCUAACUACGUG
rnacentral:rRNA from 1 species